rnacentral:rRNA from 1 species
GACAAACGCUGGCGGCGUGCUUAACACAUGCAAGUCGAACGGAAAGGCCCUGCUUUUGUGGGGUGCUCGAGUGGCGAACGGGUGAGUAACACGUGAGUAACCUGCCCUUGACUUUGGGAUAACUUCAGGAAACUGGGGCUAAUACCGGAUAGGAGCUCCUGCUGCAUGGUGGGGGUUGGAAAGUUUCGGCGGUUGGGGAUGGACUCGCGGCUUAUCAGCUUGUUGGUGGGGUAGUGGCUUACCAAGGCUUUGACGGGUAGCCGGCCUGAGAGGGUGACCGGCCACAUUGGGACUGAGAUACGGCCCAGACUCCUACGGGAGGCAGCAGUGGGGAAUAUUGCACAAUGGGCGGAAGCCUGAUGCAGCAACGCCGCGUGCAGGAUGACGGCCUUCGGGUUGUAAACCGCUUUCGCCUGUGACGAAGCGUGAGUGACGGUAAUGGGUAAAGAAGCACCGGCUAACUACGUG